UCUUUUUUUUUUUUUUUUAAGAUUUUAUUUAUUCAUGAGACACACACACACACACAGAGAGAGAGAGAGAGGUAGAGACACAGGCAGAGGGAGAAGCAGGCUCCACGCAGGGAGCCCGACGUGGGACUCAAUCCCGGGACCCCAGGAUCAGGCCCUGGGCCAAAGGCGGCACCAAACCACUGAGCCACUGGGCUUCCCUCUUUUCUUUUUGAUAAGUCUGUGUAGAGUUUAUCAAAGUCGUUCAUUCUUUCAAAGACCCAGCUUUUAGUUUUGUUGAUAUGUUCUAUUCUUUUGGUUUCUAUUUCAUUGAUUUCUGCUCUCAUUUUUAUUAAUUCUCUUUUGCUACUGUGUUUAGGCUUUAUUGGCUGUUCUUUCUCCAGCUCCUUUAGGUGUAAGUUUAGGUUGUGUAUUUGAGACCUUUCUUCUUUCUUGAGCAAGGCUUGUUUGUAUUGCUAUUUACUUCCCUCUUAGGGCCACCUUUGCUGCAUCCCAAAGGUUUUGAAUAGUUUUAUUUUCAUUUGUUUCCAUUAUGUUUUUUUUUUUAAUUAUUCUUUAAUUUCCUGGUUGACCCAUUCAUUCUUUAGUAGGAUGCUCUUUAACCUCCAGGUAUUUGAGUUCUUUCCAAACUUCCUCUUGCAGUUGAGUUCCAGUUUCAAAGCAUCAUGGUCUGAAAAUAUUCAGGGAACGAUCCCAGUCUUUUGGUCCUGGGUGAGACCUGAUCUGUGACCCAGUAUGUGAUCUAUUCUGGAGAAUGUUCCACAUGCACUCAAGAGGAAUGUGCAUUCUGCUGAUUUAGGAUGGAAUGCUCUGAGUUUUCUGUGAAGUCCAUCUGAUGCAGUGUGUCAUUCAAAGCCCCCUGUUUCCUUGUUCUGCUCAGAUGAUCUGUCCACUGCAGUGAGUGGGGUGUUAAAGUCCCUUACUAUUCCUGUAUUAUUAUCAGCGUGUUUAAUUUUGUUAUUAACUGGCUAAUAUAAUCGGUGGCUCCCAUGUCAGGGGCAUAAAUAUUUACAAUUGUUAAGACCUUCUUGUUGGAUAGACCCUUCAAUUAUGACAUAUAGUGUCCUUCCUCAUCUCUUAGUUGAGUCUCUGGUUUAAAAUCUAAUUUGUCUGAUAGAACCAUUGCCACCUCAGCUUUCUCUUGAUGUCCAUUAAGAUGAUAAAUGGUUUUCCACUCUACUUUAAAUCUGGAGGUGUCUCUGGGUCUAAAAUGAGUCUCUUGCAGACAGCAUAUUGAUGGAUGUGGUGUUUUUAUCCAAUCUGACAUGCUGUCUCUUUUGAUUGGAGCAUUUAGGCCAUUUAUAUUCAGAGUAACUAUGGAAAGAUACGAAUUUAGUGCCAUCACAUUACCUGUAAAGUCACUUUCUGUAUGUUGCUCUGUUCCUUUCUGGUCUAUGUUACUUUUGGGCUUUCUGUUUGCUUAAAGGAUCCCUUUUAAUAUUUCUUGUAGGGCUGGUUUAGUGAUCACAAAUUCUUGUAGUUUUCUGUUUGUUCUGGAAGCUUCUCAUCUCUCCUCCUAUCUGGAAUAAGAGCCUUUCUGGAUAAAGUAUUCUUGGGUGUGUAUUUUUCUCAUUUAGCACCUGAAUAUAUCAGGACAGUGUUUCCUGGCCUGCCUGGUCUGAGUGGACAGGGCUGUUGCCAGUCUAAUGUUUCCACCCUUUUAGGUUAUGGACCUCUUUUUCCCCUGAGCUGCUUUCAAGAUUUUCUCUUUGUCUCUGAGAUUUGUAAAUUUCACUAUUCUGUGUUGGUGCAUUGACCUAUUUUUAUUGAUUUUUGAGGGGAGUUUUCUGUGCCUCCUAGACUUGGAUGCCUGUUUCCUUCCCCAGAUUAGGGAAGUUCUCCAGUAUAAUCUGCCUCUCUCUCUCCUUGCUCUUCUGGGAUCCCAAUUAUUUUGCUUUAUGGUAUCACUUAUCUCUCGAAUUCUCCCCUCGUGAUCCAGUAGUUGUUUAUCUUUUUCUCAGCUUCUUUAUUCUCCAUCACUUUGUCUUCUAGAUCAUUAUUCUCUCUUUUGACUCAUUUAUUCUAACAGCUAGAGUCUCUAUAUUUGAUUGCAUCUCAAUAAUAGCCUUUUUUAUUUCAACUCGAUUAGAUUUUAGUUCUUCUAUUUCUCCAGAAAGGGAUUCUCUAAUGUCUUCUAUGCUUUUUUCAAGCCCAGCUAGUAUCUUUAUAACUGUUAUUUGAACUCUAAUUCCUAUGUCUUACUUAUGUCCACACUGAUUAGGUUCCUGGCAGUCAGUACUGCCUCUUGCUCUCUCUUUUGAGGUGAGUUUUUCCAUCUUGUCAUUCAGUCCAGAGAAGAAUAGAUGAACGAGAGAACAAAAUACUAAAAUAGGAACAAGGACCCCAGAGAUAUAUACACUAAACAAAUGAGAAGAGAUCUGAAAGUGAAAAAAAUAUAUAUGAUUGGACAGGUGAGCAGAGUAGAGCAGCACAGUGGAUCCUGUGUGUAUUUUGGUCCAUUUGUUAGAAAGCUAGAUCCCAAAAUUGUAACAAAAGAAAAAA
rnacentral:lncRNA from 1 species